CAUGUGCCCUUCUUCCCCAUC
rnacentral:miRNA from 1 species